GGAGCCUCAACAGUUUUUUUUUUUCCUACUAGGGGUUGAAAUUGGCAUGAGGGCACACUGGCAAGAUUGGGCACUGUGCCCACCAGCUACUUGGCAAGUCUACCUCCCUAUGGUGUGCUGACUAAAUAGGGCCCUUUGUCCCACGAGGAGGAGAGCUGUUAACCCCAUGGGAGCGUUUGGCUUCCCUAAUAAGCAGGAAUCCUCAGGAAUCGGGAAUCUUCAGCUCCUCCAGUUCCUCCUGUAAGCAGCACCAUUUUGGAACUAGGGGAGACCCUUAGUCAGGCCUUUUCUCCCUCCCCCUACUAUCCAGCAUGUACAAUAGACCAACUGUAUUACUCGACUACAAUUAGAAGUAGAAUUUCAGAGUUGGCAGAUAUCCAAAAUACCACCUGGUACAACUGUCUCAUUUUACAGGUGAGGAAACUGAAGCCCAGAGAGGGUAAGUAAUUUGUCUGAGAACAUACUGCAACUUAGCAGGG
rnacentral:lncRNA from 1 species